rnacentral:lncRNA from 10 species
GUGGACUGCCCCGUCCUCAGUCCCCGGUGCCCCAGCUGCACAGAGGAAGUGAUGACAGCCAGAUGAAGGUGCAACAGUGCCCAGCUCUGGAAACUCCACCCUUGUAAAUCAAAGGCCUGUGGUCUCAGUUUCUUCAUCCGUAAAAGGGCCAUUGUAAAUACCGAGUAAGCUAGAACAUGAACUGCCUGGCAUCCAGCAGCCCAAGCCUGCGUGAACCACACCAGAGGGACAUCCUGCGCAGGCCACCUCUUUCUGCUUGCUUCUUCUUGUCUUCCU